GAUCCUGGCUCAGGACGAACGCUGGCGGCGUGCCUAAUACAUGCAAGUAGAACGCUGAAGGAGGAGCUUGCUUCUCCGGAUGAGUUGCGAACGGGUGAGUAACGCGUAGGUAACCUGCCUGGUAGCGGGGGAUAACUAUUGGAAACGAUAGCUAAUACCGCAUAACAGUAGAUAUUGCAUGAUAUCUGCUUGAAAGGUGCAAUUGCAUCACUACCGGAUGGACCUGCGUUG
rnacentral:rRNA from 1 species